rnacentral:rRNA from 1 species
GCCAACGUCCAUACCACGUUGAACACACCGGUUCUCGUCCAAUCACCGAAGUUAAGCAACGUCGGGCGCGGUCAGUACUUGGAUGGGUGACCGCCUGGGAACACCGCGUGAUGUUGGCU